UACAGAGGGUGCGAACGUUGCUCGGAAUUACUGGGCGUAAAGCGCGUGCAGGCGGCCUCCCACGUCGGGUGUGAAAGCCCGGGGCUCAACCCCGGAAGCGCGCCGGAAACGAGGGGGCUGGAGGGCUGGAGAGGCGGGCGGAAUUCCCGGUGUAGAGGUGAAAUUCGUAGAUAUCGGGAGGAACACCGGUGGCGAAGGCGGCCCGCUGGACAGCGCCUGACGCUGAGACGCGAAAGCGUGGGUAGCAAACAGG
rnacentral:rRNA from 1 species